rnacentral:tRNA from 1 species
GGUGGCUCAGGGGUAGAGUGCUUGCCUUGCAUGCAUGAGGCCCUGGGUUCAAUUCCUAAGCACCA